CCUACGGGUGGCAGCAGUGGGGAAUAUUGCACAAUGGGCGAAACCCUGAUGCAGCGACGCCGCGUGAGUGAUGAAGUCCUUCGUUUUGUAAAGCUCUAUCAGCAGGGAAGAAAAUGCAGGUACCUGAGCAAGAGGCAAUGGCUAACUACGUGCAAGCAGCCGCGGUAUUACGUCGGGCGAAAGCGUUCUCUGGAUUGACUGGGUGUAACGGGAGCGUAGAUGGUUGUGCAAGUCUGGAGUGAAAGGCGGGGGCCCAACCACCGAACUGCUCUUGAAACUGUACGACUGGAGUGCAGGAGAGGUAAGUGGAAGUCCUGGUGUAGCGGUGAAAUGCGUAGAUAUUAGGAGGAACACCAGUGGCGAAGGCGGCUAACUGGACUGUAACUGACGUUGAGGCGCGAAAGCGUGGGUAGCAAACAGGAUUAGAUACCCGUGUAGUC
rnacentral:rRNA from 1 species